rnacentral:rRNA from 1 species
CGUAACACGUGAGCAACCUGCCUAGGUGUGGGGGAUAGCCGGCCCAACGGCCGGGUAAUACCGCAUACGCUCAACACGAGGCAUUUCGAGUUGAGGAAAUCUUCGGGGCACUAUGAGGGGCUCGCGGCCUAUCAGCUAGUUGGCGAGGUAAUGGCUCACCAAGGCUACGACGGGUAGCUGGUCUGAGAGGAUGGCCAGCCACAUUGGGACUGAGAAACGGCCCAG